rnacentral:rRNA from 1 species
ACUGAAUAGAUACCCAGGUAGUCCUGGCCCUAAACGAUGUCUACUAGAUCGUGGCGGCACUGACGCCGUCAUGGUCGAAGCAAAAGUGUUAAGUAGACCGCCUGGGAAGUACGGUCGCAAGGCUAAAACUCAAAGAAAUUGACGGGGGCUCACACAAGCGGUGGAGCAUGUGGUUCAAUUCGAAGCAACGCGAAGAACCUUACCUGGGCUUGACAUGCUAGGAUUAUCUCCAUGAAAGUGGAGUACGCGGCGCAAGCCGUGGAACUAGUACAGGUGCUGCAUGGCUGUCGUCAGCUCGUGUCGUGAGAUGUCGGGUUAAGUCCCUUAACGAGCGAAACCUUUGCCCUUAGUUGCCAUCGGGUUAUGCCGGGCACUCUAAGGGGACUGCCGGUGUCAAACCGGAGGAAGGUGGAGAUGACGUCAAGUCCUCAUGGCCUUUAUGCCCAGGGCCACACACGUGCUACAAUGGCGUCCACAAAGCGAACCGAGAGCGCAAGCUGGAGGAAAUCGCAGAAAUGACG